rnacentral:rRNA from 1 species
GAUGAACGCUGGCGGCAUGCCUAACACAUGCAAGUCGAACGAGACCUUCGGGUCUAGUGGCGCACGGGUGCGUAUCGCGUGGGAAUCUGCCCCUCGGUUCGGAAUAACAGUUAGAAAUGACUGCUAAUACCGGAUAAUGACUUCGGUCCAAAGAUUUAUCGCCGAGGGAUGAGCCCGCGUAAGAUUAGGUAGUUGGUGGGGUAAAGGCCUACCAAGCCGACGAUCUUUAGCUGGUCUGAGAGGAUGAUCAGCUACACUGGGACUGAGACACGGCCCAGACUCCUACGGUAGGCAGCAGUGGGGAAUAUUGGACAAUGGGCGAAAGCCUGAUCCAGCAAUGCCGCGUGAGUGAUGAAGGCCUUAGGGUUGUAAAGCUCUUUUACCAGGGAUGAUAAUGACAGUACCUGGAGAAUAAGCUCCGGCUAACUCCGUGCCAGCCGCCGCCGUAA